GGGCCCAUAGCUCAAACGGUGAGAGCUCCCGGCUCAUAACCGGGCGGUUCCUGGUUCAAUCCCAGGUGGGCCCACCG
rnacentral:tRNA from 1 species